CGCUCGGCCUUGGGCUGGGCUGCGCUGGGCUGCGGGCUCCCACCUCCCGGCCGUCGGCUCUGCAGGUCCCUCCAGGCCCUCG
rnacentral:miRNA from 1 species